rnacentral:rRNA from 1 species
UUCUUAUAUAUGAUCUGCUCAUGAUUAAUUAAAUAGCCGCAUAAUGUGCAAAGGUAGCAUAAUCAUUUGUCUUUUAAAUGAGGACCAGAACAAAAGAUUUAACAUUUCAAUUUAUUUACUUACUUUAAUAUUUUGAAUUUAUUUUAAAUGUAAAAAAACAUUUAUAAUUUAGAAAGACGAUAAGACCCUGUUGAACUUAACUUUAGUUAAACUGGGGCAGUUAAUUAAUUAUUAUUUUAUAAUAAUAUACUAAUUUAAAUAUCCAAUAUUAUUGAAUAAUUUAGUUACCACAGGGAUAACAGCAUAAUUAUAUUAUAAAGCUCUUAUACAAAAUAUAGAUUAUGACCUCGAUGUUGAAUUAAUAACCUAAUUAAGGCAAGACUUAAAAAAGGAGGUCUGUUCGACCUUUAAACAAUUACAUGAUCUGAGUCAAAANCCNGGAGA